GCUGAAGUAGCUCAGCUGGGAGAGCGUUAGACCGAAGAUCUAAAGGUCCCUGGUUCAAUCCCGGGCUUCAGCA
rnacentral:tRNA from 1 species